GAUCAUGGCUCAGAUUGAACGCUGGCGGCAUGCCUUACACAUGCAAGUCGAACGGUAACAGGUCUUCGGAUGCUGACGAGUGGCGAACGGGUGAGUAAUACAUCGGAACGUGCCCGAUCGUGGGGGAUAACGAAGCGAAAGCUUUGCUAAUACCGCAUAAGAUCUACGGAUGAAAGCAGGGGACCGCAAGGCCUUGCGCGAACGGAGCGGCCGAUGGCAGAUUAGGUAGUUGGUGGGAUAAAAGCUUACCAAGCCGACGAUCUGUAGCUGGUCUGAGAGGACGACCAGCCACACUGGGACUGAGACACGGCCCAGACUCCUACGGGAGGCAGCAGUGGGGAAUUUUGGACAAUGGGCGAAAGCCUGAUCCAGCCAUGCCGCGUGCAGGAUGAAGGCCUUCGGGUUGUAAACUGCUUUUGUACGGAACGAAAAGACUCUGGUUAAUACCUGGGGUCCAUGACGGUACCGUAAGAAUAAGCACCGGCUAACUACGUG
rnacentral:rRNA from 1 species